AACGAACGCUGGCGGCAGGCCUAACACAUGCAAGUCGAGCGCACCUUCGGGUGAGCGGCGGACGGGUUAGUAACGCGUGGGAAUAUGCCCAGAUCUACGGAAUAGCCUCGGGAAACUGAGAGUAAUACCGUAUACGCCCUUCGGGGGAAAGAUUUAUCGGAUUUGGAUUAGCCCGCGUUGGAUUAGGUAGUUGGUGGGGUAAUGGCCUACCAAGCCGACGAUCCAUAGCUGGUUUGAGAGGAUGAUCAGCAACACUGGGACUGAGACACGGCCCAGACUCCUACGGGAGGCAGCAGUGGGGAAUCUUAGACAAUGGGGAAACCCUGAUCUAGCCAUGCCGCGUGAGUGACGAAGGCCCUAGGGUCGUAAAGCUCUUUCGCCAGGGAAGAUAAUGACGGUACCUGGUAAAGAAACCCGGCUAACUCCGUGCCAGCAGCCGCGGUAAU
rnacentral:rRNA from 1 species